GAGUUUGAUCGUGGCUCAGGACGAACGCUGGCGGCGUGCUUAACACAUGCAAGUCGAACGGUGACCCGAAGCUUGCUUCGGUGAUCAGUGGCGAACGGGUGAGUAACACGUGAGCAACCUACCCUUGACUCUGGGAUAACAGCUGGAAACAGCUGCUAAUACCGGAUACGACCUCGACCGACAUCAGUUGAGGUGGAAAGUUCCGGCGGUCAAGGAUGGGCUCGCGGCCUAUCAGCUAGUUGGUGAGGUAACGGCUCACCAAGGCUUCGACGGGUAGCCGGCCUGAGAGGGCGACCGGCCACACUGAGACUGAGAUACGGCCCAGACUCCUACGGGAGGCAGCAGUGGGGAAUAUUGCACAAUGGGCGAAAGCCUGAUGCAGCAACGCCGCGUGCGGGAUGACGGCCU
rnacentral:rRNA from 1 species